CUCCUCACUUCAGCAGUACAUAUACUAAAAUUGGAAUGAUACAGAGAAGACUAGCAUGGCCCUGCACAAGGAUGAUAUGCAAAUUCAUGAAGCAUUAUAAAAUAAU
rnacentral:snRNA from 1 species